GCCGGGCGUUGUGGCGGGCGCCUGUGGUCCCAGCUACUUGGGAGGCGGAGGCAGGAGACUCGCUUGAGCCCAGGAGUUGGAGGUUGCUGUGAGCUGUAAUGCCACGGCACUCUGCCCAGGGGGACAGCUUGAGGCUCUGUCUCAAAAAAAAAAUAAAUAAAUAAAUAAAUAAAAGAGAAAUGUUUUGUUUCUUUUCUUCCUUUUUUUUUUUUUUUUUGAGACAGAGUAUCACUCUGUCACCCUUGGGUGGAGUGCUGUGGCAUCACAGCUCACAGCAACCUCAAACUCUUGGGCUCAAGCGAUUCUCUUGCCUCAG
rnacentral:SRP_RNA from 1 species